rnacentral:rRNA from 1 species
UACGUAGGGUGCAAGCGUUAAUCGGAAUUACUGGGCGUAAAGCGUGCGUAGGCGGUUCUCCAAGUCCGUUGUGAAAUCCCCGGGCUCAACCUGGGAAUGGCGAUGAAGACUGCAAGGCUAGAAUCUGGCAGAGGGGGGUAGAAUUCCACGUGUAGCAGUGAAAUGCGUAGAGAUGUGGAGGAACACCGAUGGCGAAGGCGGCCCCCUGGACCGGAACUGACGCUGAGGCGCGAAAGCGUGGGUAGCAAACGGG